GAUGAACGCUGGCGGCGUGCCUAAUACAUGCAAGUCGAGCGGAGCGGGGACGUGUGAGUAACACGUGGAUACCCUCCUCUAAGACUGGGGUAACUUCCGGAAACCGGUGCUAAUCCGGCUACUUAUAGAUGGAUCCGGGCUGGAUUAGCUAGUUGGUAAGGUAACGGCUUACCAAGGCAACGAUGCAUAGCCGACCUGAGAGGGUGAUCGGCCACACGGGAACUGAGCCACGGACCAGACUCCUACGGGAGGAAGCAGUAGGGAAUAGUCCGCAAUGGGCGAAAGCCUGACGGAGCCACGCCGCGUGAGUGAGGAAGGCCUUCGGUUCGUAAAACUCUGUUAUUGGGGAAGCGGUACCUAAACAGAAAGCACCGGCUAACUACGUGCCAGCAGCCGCGGUAAUAC
rnacentral:rRNA from 1 species